ensembl:misc_RNA Metazoa_SRP Metazoan signal recognition particle RNA
GGAGGCUGAAGUGGAAGGAUCAUUUGAGCCACACUCCUGUGUGGCUCUCAGGAGUUCUGGGCUGUGGUGAGCUAUGCCAAUCAGGUGCCCUGUGUCGGCACUCACCUCCAAGUUUGGCAUCGAUAUGGCGACCUCCUGGGAGCAGGGGACCACCAGGUUGCCAAGGGAGGGGUGAACUGACCCAGGUCAGAAACGGAGCAGGUCAAAAUUCCUGUGCUGAUCAGUAGUGUGAUCACACCUGUGAAUAGCCACUGCACUCCAGCCUGGGCAACAGAGCAAGACC